CAGUAGCCGCGGUAACACGAAGGGUGCAAGCGUUAAUCGGAAUUACUGGGCGUAAAGCGUGCGUAGGCGGUGAGUUAAGUCUGCUGUGAAAUCCCCGGGCUCAACCUGGGAAUGGCAGUGGAUACUGGCUCGCUAGAGUGUGUCAGAGGAUGGUGGAAUUCCCGGUGUAGCGGUGAAAUGCGUAGAGAUCGGGAGGAACAUCAGUGGCGAAGGCGGCCAUCUGGGACAACACUGACGCUGAGGCACGAAAGCGUGGGGAGCAAACAGGAUUAGAUACCCGCGUAGUCCCUGUCUCUUAUAC
rnacentral:rRNA from 1 species